AUAAUGGGUCAGCGACUUAUAUUCUGUAGCAAGGUUAACCGAAUAGGGGAGCCGAAGGGAAACCGAGUCUUAACUGGGCGUUAAGUUGCAGGGUAUAGACCCGAAACCCGGUGAUCUAGCCAUGGGCAGGUUGAAGGUUGGGUAACACUAACUGGAGGACCGAACCGACUAAUGUUGAAAAAUUAGCGGAUGACUUGUGGCUGGGGGUGAAAGGCCAAUCAAACCGGGAGAUAGCUGGUUCUCCCCGAAAGCUAUUUAGGUAGCGCCUCGUGAAUUCAUCUCCGGGGGUAGAGCACUGUUUCGGCAAGGGGGUCAUCCCGACUUACCAACCCGAUGCAAACUGCGAAUACCGGAGAAUGUUAUCACGGGAGACACACGGCGGGUGCUAACGUCCGUCGUGAAGAGGGAAACAACCCAGACCGCCAGCUAAGGUCCCAAAGUCAUGGUUAAGUGGGAAACGAUGUGGGAAGGCCCAGACAGCCAGGAUGUUGGCUUAGAAGCAGCCAUCAUUUAAAGAAAGCGUAAUAGCUCACUGGUCGAGUCGGCCUGCGCGGAAGAUGUAACGGGGCUAAACCAUGCACCGAAGCUGCGGCAGCGACGCUGAUGCGUUGUUGGGUAGGGGAGCGUUCUGUAAGCCUGCGAAGGUGUGCUGUGAGGCAUGCUGGAGGUAUCAGAAGUGCGAAUGCUGACAUAAGUAACGAUAAAGCGGGUGAAAAGCCCGCUCGCCGGAAGACCAAGGGUUCCUGUCCAACGUUAAUCGGGG
rnacentral:rRNA from 1 species